UCCAGACUCCUACGGGAGGCAGCAGUGGGGGAUAUUGCACAAUGGGGGGAACCCUGAUGCAGCGACGCCGCGUGGGUGAAGGAGCGUUUCGGCGCGUAAAGCCCUAUCGGCAGGGAAGAAGGAGGACGGUACCUGACUAAGAAGCCCCGGCUAACUACGUGCCAGCAGCCGCGGUAAUACGUAGGGGGCAAGCGUUAUCCGGAUUUACUGGGUGUAAAGGGGGCGCAGACGGCAGCGCAAGCCAGGAGUGAAAGCCCGGGGCCCAACCCCGGGACUGCUCUUGGAACUGCGCGGCUGGAGUGCAGGAGGGGCAGGCGGAAUUCCUGGUGUAGCGGUGAAAUGCGUAGAUAUCAGGAGGAACACCGGUGGCGAAGGCGGCCUGCUGGACUGCGACUGACGUUGAGGCCCGAAAGCGUGGGGAGCACACAGGAUUAGAUACCCUUGUAG
rnacentral:rRNA from 1 species